AUUGAACGCUGGCGGCAGGCCUAACACAUGCAAGUCGAAUGGUAACAGGAAACAGCUUGCUGUUUCGCUGACGAGUGGCGGACGGGUGAGUAAUGUCUGGGAAACUGCCUGAUGGAGGGGGAUAACUACUGGAAACGGUAGCUAAUACCGCAUAACGUCGCAAGGCCAAAGAGGGGGACCUUCGGGCCUCUUGCCAUCAGAUGUGCCCAGAUGGGAUUAGCUAGUAGGUGGGGUAACGGCUCACCUAGGCGACGAUCCCCAGCUGGUCUGAGAGGAUGACCAGCCACACUGGAACUGAGACACGGUCCAGACUCCUACGGGAGGCAGCAGUGGGGAAUAUUGCACAAUGGGCGCAAGCCUGAUGCAGCCAUGCCGCGUGUAUGAAGAAGGCCUUCGGGUUGUAAAGUACUUUCAGCGGGGAGGAAGGGAGUAAAGUUAAUACCUUUGCUCAUUGACGUUACCCGCAGAAGAAGCACCGGCUAACUCCGUG
rnacentral:rRNA from 1 species